rnacentral:rRNA from 1 species
UACUCCCCAGGCGGGGUACUUAUUGCGUUAACUCCGGCACAGAAGGGGUCGAUACCUCCUACACCUAGUACCCAUCGUUUACGGCCAGGAUUACCGGGGUAUCUAAUCCCGUUCACUCCCCUGGCUUUCGCGCCUCAGCGUCAGACACAGUCCAGAAAGUCGCCUUCGCCACUGGUGUUCCUCCUAAUAUCUACGCAUUUCACCGCUACACUAGGAAUUCCACUUUCCUCUCCUGCACUCAAGAAAUGUAGUUUCCAUCCCAUCACGGGGUUGAGCCCCGAACUUUUAAGACAGACUUACAUUCCCGCCUGCGCGCGCUUUACGCCCAAUAAUUCCGGACAACGCUUGCCACCUACGUAUUACCGCGGCUGCUGGCACGUAGUUAGCCGUGGCUUCCUCCUCAGGUACCGUCAUUACUUAACAUUAUUCACAUUAAGCACAUUCGUCCCUGAAGACAGAGCUUUACGAUCCGAAAACCUUCUUCACUCACGCGGCGUUGCUCCGUCAGACUUUCG